GCUACUGUAGCUCAACUGGUAGAGCAACUGAUCUGUAAUCAGUAGGUUGAAAGUUCGAGUCUUUUCAGUAGCUCCA
rnacentral:tRNA from 1 species